UACGGGGGGGGCAAGCGUUGUUCGGAAUUACUGGGCGUAAAGGGCUCGUAGGCGGCCAACUAAGUCAGACGUGAAAUCCCUCGGCUUAACCGGGGAACUGCGUCUGAUACUGGUUGGCUUGAAUCCGGGAGAGGGAUGUGGAAUUCCAGGUGUAGCGGUGAAAUGCGUAGAUAUCUGGAGGAACACCGGUGGCGAAGGCGGCAUCCUGGACCGGUAUUGACGCGUGAGGAGCGAAAGCCAGGGGAGCAAAGCGGG
rnacentral:rRNA from 1 species